rnacentral:rRNA from 1 species
UAAUACGGAGGAUGCGAGCGUUAUCCGGAUUUAUUGGGUUUAAAGGGUGCGUAGGCGGAUUAAUAAGUCAGUGGUGAAAACCUGCAGCUUAACUGUAGACUUGCCAUUGAUACUGUUAGUCUUGAGUGUGGUCAAGGUAGGCGGAAUGUGUAAUGUAGCGGUGAAAUGCUUAGAUAUUACACAGAACACCGAUUGCGAAGGCAGCUUACUGGGCCAUUACUGACGCUGAUGCACGAAAGCGUGGGGAGCGAACAGGAUUAGAUACCCUGGUAGUCCACGCCGUAAACGAUGAUCACUCGCUGUUGGCGAUACACAGUCAGCGGCUAAGCAAAAGCAUUAAGUGAUCCACCUGGGGAGUACGGCCGCAAGGCUGAAACUUAAAUGAAUUGACGG